rnacentral:tRNA from 1 species
GCCGAUGUGGUGGAAUUGGUAGACACGCUAUCUUGGAGGGGGUAGUGGCGUAAGCCGUGCCGGUUCAAAUCCGGCCAUCGGCACCA